GCCACCUCACACACAAACACUCAGCAGCACAAGUAUGCAAGCAACCUACACAAUGUGAGGAUAAACAUGCAAUUUAAAGUCAGGGUGGAAGAAGUGGGAAAUCUGCCAGCUGUGAAAUGGAUUUAUUGAGGCUGAAUUACACUCGGCAUCCAACCAAUUACCUGUCCAGCUGUCUCCGCGGGCCAGCAUGCCCUGCCAUGUAGCGUGGUGCGCAAGCUUCCAGACUCCAGAAAUUUAUCAAGCAAUGACAGGAGGGCCAGCACUGGAGGGGGAAUACAUCUCCUUAAUCACAACUGAAGGAAACAGAUAUCGCUCGCCUCAGCCUAUUAUAAAUGUCAUGCUUCGCCUUUCCUUUAAUGCACAAACCUGGAGUGCAGAGAUGAGGUAAAGGCAAAACAAAAAAGAGGGGGGAGGGGCAGAGUGAGAAAGGAAGAGAGGUAACCGAACUCAUUGUACUCAGAUACAGGACAAAUUUCACAUCACACAGAUAAAGGCU